CUCUCUCUCACACACACACACACACACACACACAUUCAGAUGCUGAUUCUCACUUUCGGGAAAUGUAGAUUAGCCAGUCCACCUACAUGCAUGUUUUUGGGAGGAAAUUGGAGAACCUGGAGGGAACGCACACAGAGAGUAACCCAAGCUCAGGAUCGAACCAUUGAAUGUAUCUAGUCAGAGAGCCUAUCCCAGGGAUCUCAGGACAGAAGGUGGCGGACAACCUACCAAACCAUCACAAGGCACAAUCGCACACUACUGACAAUUCUGAAGGGCCAAUCAGCCUGCAAUGCACGUGUUUGGCCUGAGGGAGGAAACCGGAGUACCCGGAGGAAACCCCCAAAGCACGAGGAGAACAUUCAAGCUCUGCGCACACAGGGUGGAGACGGGAUUCGAGCCUCCAACCCCAGAGGUGUCGUGUCACGGCGAACUAGUGACUCCAUUUCCCAGAAUGCAAACAUGGC
ensembl:lncRNA